rfam:Helianthus annuus linkage group 17, whole genome shotgun sequence.
GGGUGUAUUACUGGGCAUAUACUCCUUUGGCAGUAGUUUUUUUUCUUAAUUCUACUGCCAAGGGAGAUUUGCCCAGCAAUUCAUCU